rnacentral:sRNA from 1 species
UGGCGCAGCGAGGGGUCCCUCCCUUGGA